ACCGCACAAGCGGUGGAUGAUGUGGAUUAAUUCGAUGCAACGCGAAAACCUUACCUACCCUUGACAUGUCUGGAACCUUGGUGAGAGCCGAGGGUGCCUUCGGGAGCCAGAACACGGGUGCUGCAUGGCUGUCGUCAGCUCGUGUCGUGAGAUGUUGGGUUAAGUCCCGCAACGAGCGCAACCCUUGUCAUUAGUUGCCAUCAUUUGGUUGGGCACUCUAAUGAGACUGCCGGUGACAAACCGGAGGAAGGUGGGGAUGACGUCAAGUCCUCAUGGCCCUUAUGGGUAGGGCUUCACACGUCAUACAAUGGUCGGUACAGAGGGUUGCCAACCCGCGAGGGGGAGCUAAUCCCACAAAGCCGAUCGUAGUCCGGAUCGCAGUCUGCAACUCGACUGCGUGAAGUCGGAAUCGCUAGUAAUCGUGGAUCAGCAUGUCACGGUGAAUACGUUCCCGGGUCUU
rnacentral:rRNA from 1 species